rnacentral:tRNA from 1 species
GGGAUUGUAGCUCAGUGGUAGAGUGCCCGCCUCAAACGUGUGAGGCACUGGGUUCAAUCCUCAGCACCA